CACUUUGAUGAAGAAGAUCUGGUGGCGUAUGUGCUGAACGGACUGGAUGAUGACUAUGAUCCAGUAGUCUCGGCACUGGUGGCCCGGGUUGAACCCGUGUCAAUUGGAGAAGUCUACUCGCAGUUGCUUAACUUCGAGA
rnacentral:snoRNA from 1 species